GAUGAACGCUGGCGGCGUGCUUAACACAUGCAAGUCGAACGGAAAGGCCCAAGCUUGCUUGGGUACUCGAGUGGCGAACGGGUGAGUAACACGUGGGUGAUCUGCCCUGCACUUCGGGAUAAGCCUGGGAAACUGGGUCUAAUACCGGAUAGGACCACUUCUUGGAUGUUGUGGUGGAAAGUUUUUUCGGUGUGGGAUGAGCUCGCGGCCUAUCAGCUUGUUGGUGGGGUAAUGGCCUACCAAGGCGUCGACGGGUAGCCGGCCUGAGAGGGUGUACGGCCACAUUGGGACUGAGAUACGGCCCAGACUCCUACGGGAGGCAGCAGUGGGGAAUAUUGCACAAUGGGCGCAAGCCUGAUGCAGCGACGCCGCGUGGGGGAUGACGGCCUUCGGGUUGUAAACUCCUUUCGCUAGGGACGAAGCGUUUUUGUGACGGUACCUGGAGAAGAAGCACCGGCUAACUACGUG
rnacentral:rRNA from 1 species